GCGUGCAGCGACCGGUCAGCUUGUUGACUGAAGCCAACUCGAAGAAGCAGGACUGCUUUAAGCUGUGACUUUGCGAAAGUAAAUAUCCCUUUUAACGUCUCAGGGCUUCUACUGCUGGUUUCAUACAGACCCGCAGGAUGGUGGUGCUCACAGUUACUGCGCAACUGUCCAGACUGAUGUAUUCUCAGUGUGCAGUGCAUUCUGCUGACUCAUGUAUGAUUUCACAGAGAAAUGGGAGAUGGGAGAAUCAGCCCAGCAUCUGGUGUGACUGCAGUUGA
rnacentral:lncRNA from 1 species